rnacentral:rRNA from 1 species
GAUGAACGCUGGCGGCGUGCCUAAUACAUGCAAGUCGAGCGAACAGACGAGAGUGCUUGCACUCUCUGACGUUAGCGGCGGACGGGUGAGUAACACGUGGGUAACCUACCUAUAAGACUGGGAUAACUUCGGGAAACCGGAGCUAAUACCGGAUAAUAUUUAGCUUCGCAUGAAGCAAUAGUGAAAGACGGUUCUGCUGUCACUUAUAGAUGGACCCGCGGUGUAUUAGCUAGUUGGUGAGGUAACGGCUAACCAAGGCAACGAUACAUAGCCGACCUGAGAGGGUGAUCGGCCAAACUGGGACUGAGACACGGCCCAGACUCCUACGGGAGGCAGCAGUAGGGAAUCUUCCGCAAUGGACGAAAGUCUGACGGAGCAAUGCCGCGUGAGUGAAGAAGGUCUUCGGAUCGUAAAACUCUGUUGUAAGGGAAGAACAAGUACGUUAGUAACUGAACGUACCUUGACGGUACCUUACCAGAAAGCCACGGCUAACUACGUG